ACUGGCGGACGGGUGAGUAACACGUGGAUCAUCUACCUUCUAGUGGGGAAUACCACCGGGAAACUGGAGACAAUACCGCAUAAGCUCGUAAGAGGAAAGCAGCAAUGCGCUGGAAGAGGAGUCCGCGGCUGAUUAGCUAGUUGGCGGGGUAACGGCCCACCAAGGCGAAGAUCGGUAGCCGGCCUGAGAGGGCACACGGCCACACUGGCACUGAAACACGGGCCAGACUCCUACGGGAGGCAGCAGUGGGGAAUCUUGCACAAUGGAGGAAACUCUGAUGCAGCGACGCCGCGUGAGCGAUGAAGCCCUUCGGGGUGUAAAGCUCUUUCGACGGGAACGAUGAUGACGGUACCCGAAGAAGAAGCUGCGGCUAACUACGUGCCAGCAGCCGCGGUAAUACG
rnacentral:rRNA from 1 species